rnacentral:rRNA from 1 species
UCCUACGGGUGGCUGCAGUAGGGAAUUUUCGGCAAUGGGGGAAACCCUGACCGAGCAACGCCGCGUGAAUGACGAAGUACUUCGGUAUGUAAAGUUCUUUUAUUGGGGAAGAAUGGUACGUGGAAAAACGUACGUGACGGUACCUAAUGAAUAAGCCCCGGCUAACUAUGUGCCAGCAGCCGCGGUAAUACAUAGGGGGCAAGCGUUAUCCGGAAUUAUUGGGCGUAAAGGGUGCGUAGGUGGCUAUUUAAGUCUUUGGUGUAAGUGCAGUGCUCAACACUGUGAUGCUAAAGAAACUGGAUGGCUUGAGUGUGGUAGAGGCAAGUGGAAUUCCAUGUGUAGCGGUAAAAUGCGUAAAUAUAUGGAGGAACACCAGUGGCGAAGGCGGCUUGCUGGGCCAUAACUGACACUGAGGCACGAAAGCGUGGGGAGCAAACAGGAUUAGAUACCCGAGUAGUCC